UACGAAGGGGGCUAGCGUUACUCGGAUUGACUGGGCGUAAAGGGCGCGUAGGCGGCUUGUACAGUCAGACGUGAAAUUCCUGGGCUCAACCUGGGGGCUGCGUUUGAUACGUAUGGGCUUGAGUUCGGAAGAGGGUCGUGGAAUUCCCAGUGUAGAGGUGAAAUUCGUAGAUAUUGGGAAGAACACCGGUGGCGAAGGCGGCGACCUGGUCCGAUACUGACGCUGAGGCGCGAAAGCGUGGGGAGCAAACAGG
rnacentral:rRNA from 1 species